rnacentral:rRNA from 1 species
AUUGAACGCUGGCGGCAGGCCUAACACAUGCAAGUCGAGCGAGCGGCGGACGGGUGUGUAAUGUAUGGGGACUCCCCGAUAGAGGGGGAUAACUACUGGAAACGCUAGCUAAUAUCGCUAAGUAUCGGAUACCCUAUAUUGGAUUAGCUUGUAGGUGAGGUAAUGGCUCACCUAGGCGACGAUCCCUAGCUGGUCUGAGAGGAUGAUCAGCCAAUCGGGGACUGAGACGAGGCCCAGACUCCUACGGAGGCAGCAGUGGGGAAUAUUGCACAAGGGGCGCAAGCCUGAUGCAGCCAUGCCGCGUGUAUGAAGAAGGCCCUAGGGUUGUAAAGUACUUUCAGUCGGGAGGCGUUACCGACAGAAGAAGCACCGGCUAACUCCGUGCCAGCAGCCGCGGUAAUAC